rnacentral:rRNA from 1 species
ACGCUGGCGGCGUGCCUAAUACAUGCAAGUCGAGCGAACGGACGAGAAGCUUGCUUCUCUGAUGUUAGCGGCGGACGGGUGAGUAACACGUGGAUAACCUACCUAUAAGACUGGGAUAACUUCGGGAAACCGGAGCUAAUACCGGAUAAUAUUUUGAACCGCAUGGUUCAAAAGUGAAAGACGGUCUUGCUGUCACUUAUAGAUGGAUCCGCGCUGCAUUGGCUAGUUGGUAAGGUAACGGCUUACCAAGGCAACGAUGCAUAGCCGACCUGAGAGGGUGAUCGGCCACACUGGAACUGAGACACGGUCCAGACUCCUACGGGAGGCAGCAGUAGGGAAUCUUCCGCAAUGGGCGAAAGCCUGACGGAGCAACGCCGCGUGAGUGAUGAAGGUCUUCGGAUCGUAAAACUCUGUUAUUAGGGAAGAACAUAUGUGUAAGUAACUGUGCACAUCUUGACGGUACCUAAUCAGAAAGCCACGGCUAACUACGUGCCAGCAGCCGCGGUAAUACGUAGGUGGCAAGCGUUAUCCGGAAUUAUUGGGCGUAAAGCGCGCGUAGGCGGUUUUUUAAGUCUGAUGUGAAAGCCCACGGCUCAACCGUGGAGGGUCAUUGGAAACUGGAAAACUUGAGUGCAGAAGAGGAAAGUGGAAUUCCAUGUGUAGCGGUGAAAUGCGCAGAGAUAUGGAGGAACACCAGUGGCGAAGGCGACUUUCUGGUCUGUAACUGACGCUGAUGUGCGAAAGCGUGGGGAUCAAACAGGAUUAGAUACCCUGGUAGUCCACGCCGUAAACGAUGAGUGCUAAGUGUUAGGGGGUUUCCGCCCCUUAGUGCUGCAGCUAACGCAUUAAGCACUCCGCCUGGGGAGUACGACCGCAAGGUUGAAACUCAAAGGAAUUGACGGGGACCCGCACAAGCGGUGGAGCAUGUGGUUUAAUUCGAAGCAACGCGAAGAACCUUACCAAAUCUUGACAUCCUUUGACAACUCUAGAGAUAGAGCCUUCCCCUUCGGGGGACAAAGUGACAGGUGGUGCAUGGUUGUCGUCAGCUCGUGUCGUGAGAUGUUGGGUUAAGUCCCGCAACGAGCGCAACCCUUAAGCUUAGUUGCCAUCAUUAAGUUGGGCACUCUAAGUUGACUGCCGGUGACAAACCGGAGGAAGGUGGGGAUGACGUCAAAUCAUCAUGCCCCUUAUGAUUUGGGCUACACACGUGCUACAAUGGACAAUACAAAGGGCAGCGAAACCGCGAGGUCAAGCAAAUCCCAUAAAGUUGUUCUCAGUUCGGAUUGUAGUCUGCAACUCGACUACAUGAAGCUGGAAUCGCUAGUAAUCGUAGAUCAGCAUGCUACGGUGAAUACGUUCCCGGGUCU